rnacentral:rRNA from 1 species
AUUGAACGCUGGCGGCAGGCCUAACACAUGCAAGUCGAGCGGUAACACAGGGAGCUUGCUCCUGGGUGACGAGCGGCGGACGGGUGAGUAAUGUCUGGGAAACUGCCUGAUGGAGGGGGAUAACUACUGGAAACGGUAGCUAAUACCGCAUAACGUCGCAAGACCAAAGAGGGGGACCUUCGGGCCUCUUGCCAUCAGAUGUGCCCAGAUGGGAUUAGCUAGUAGGUGGGGUAAUGGCUCACCUAGGCGACGAUCCCUAGCUGGUCUGAGAGGAUGACCAGCCACACUGGAACUGAGACACGGUCCAGACUCCUACGGGAGGCAGCAGUGGGGAAUAUUGCACAAUGGGCGCAAGCCUGAUGCAGCCAUGCCGCGUGUAUGAAGAAGGCCUUCGGGUUGUAAAGUACUUUCAGCGGGGAGGAAGGUGUUGAGGUUAAUAACCUCAGCAAUUGACGUUACCCGCAGAAGAAGCACCGGCUAACUCCGUGCCAGCAGCCGCAGUAAGAC